CGCGAGCCCUCAGCGAGGCGGUGAGGGGGUCCUGCCAGCGCCACCGCCUCUUGUUACAGUCCCCGGCCUCUUCUUGCUCCCUGGCCUGUUUACAGAAAGCAGAGACGCUCAGAGUUAAGACUGUAAUUCCAACUUUUCUAGAACUAAACGAGGACCCCCCCCUUCCCCGAAUUUACAUUGCACACGAAGUCUUUUUGCCCUUAGAAGGAUCGAUGUGCCCAAUACUUCUGGGAGCCAGAACCUCGCGAGAAGCCUCAUGCUGUUUUCCAAGUGAUUAAGGCUGUCAAGCACAUAUAUGUUUCAUGUUCUCCAAAGAGGCCUCUCUGCAUAGCCUGAGGAAGGUUUAUCAGCUUAAAGGGAAAAAGAAUGGGUGAAGGAGACCACGAAUGAUCUGCAGAGUCCCUGCAAAAGAGAAGGGCUGAAGAACUGCGGCAGAGAGGUGAGCUGUGCAGAGCUCUGCCAGCGUGUUGCUGAGGGCCCCAUGCUGUAAAUCUCAAAGACAUCUUCGACAGGAAUGCUGUUCUGCGAAAACA